GGCCAGCAUGGACAGAUACACAGUUCUCAUAAUGCUGGGGUCGGCGGUUCAAGUCCGCCUCUAGCUACCA
rnacentral:tRNA from 1 species